GGUGGGGUAGCCAAGUGGUUGUACGGCGUUGGUCUUGAAAACCAAUGUUCCGCAAGGAACCGUGAGUUCGAAUCUCACCCCCACCG
rnacentral:tRNA from 1 species